UACGUAGGUGGCGAGCGUUGUCCGGAUUUACUGGGCGUAAAGAGCGCGCAGGCGGUCGUACAAGUCGCGUGUGAAAGCCCCCGGCUCAACUGGGGAGGGUCACGCGAUACUGUUCGACUCGAAGGCAGGAGAGGGUAGUGGAAUUCCCGGUGUAGUGGUGAAAUGCGUAGAUAUCGGGAGGAACACCAGUGGCGAAGGCGGGUCUCUGGGCCGAAACUGACGCUGAGGAGCGAAAGCGUGGGGAGCAAACAGG
rnacentral:rRNA from 1 species